rnacentral:rRNA from 1 species
UUAAGCGACUAAGCGUACACGGUGGAUGCCCUGGCAGUCAGAGGCGAUGAAGGACGUGCUAAUCUGCGAUAAGCGUCGGUGAGGUGAUAUGAACCGUUAUAACCGGCGAUUUCCGAAUGGGGAAACCCAGUGUGUUUCGACACACUAUCAUUAACUGAAUCCAUAGGUUAAUGAGGCGAACCGGGGGAACUGAAACAUCUAAGUACCCCGAGGAAAAGAAAUCAACCGAGAUUCCCCCAGUAGCGGCGAGCGAACGGGGAGGAGCCCAGAGCCUGAAUCAGUGUGUGUGUUAGUGGAAGCGUCUGGAAAGGCGCGCGAUACAGGGUGACAGCCCCGUACACAAAAAUGCACAUAUUGUGAGCUCGAUGAGUAGGGCGGGACACGUGGUAUCCUGUCUGAAUAUGGGGGGACCAUCCUCCAAGGCUAAAUACUCCUGACUGACCGAUAGUGAACCAGUACCGUGAGGGAAAGGCGAAAAGAACCCCGGCGAGGGGAGUGAAAAAGAACCUGAAACCGUGUACGUACAAGCAGUGGGAGCCUCUUAAUGGGGUGACUGCGUACCUUUUGUAUAAUGGGUCAGCGACUUAUAUUCUGUAGCAAGGUUAACCGAAUAGGGGAGCCGAAGGGAAACCGAGUCUUAACUGGGCGUUAAGUUGCAGGGUAUAGACCCGAAACCCGGUGAUCUAGCCAUGGGCAGGUUGAAGGUUGGGUAACACUAACUGGAGGACCGAACCGACUAAUGUUGAAAAAUUAGCGGAUGACUUGUGGCUGGGGGUGAAAGGCCAAUCAAACCGGGAGAUAGCUGGUUCUCCCCGAAAGCUAUUUAGGUAGCGCCUCGUGAAUUCAUCUCCGGGGGUAGAGCACUGUUUCGGCAAGGGGGUCAUCCCGACUUACCAACCCGAUGCAAACUGCGAAUACCGGAGAAUGUUAUCACGGGAGACACACGGCGGGUGCUAACGUCCGUCGUGAAGAGGGAAACAACCCAGACCGCCAGCUAAGGUCCCAAAGUCAUGGUUAAGUGGGAAACGAUGUGGGAAGGCCUAGACAGCCAGGAUGUUGGCUUAGAAGCAGCCAUCAUUUAAAGAAAGCGUAAUAGCUCACUGGUCGAGUCGGCCUGCGCGGAAGAUGUAACGGGGCUAAACCAUGCACCGAAGCUGCGGCAGCGACACUAUGUGUUGUUGGGUAGGGGAGCGUUCUGUAAGCCUGUGAAGGUGUACUGUGAGGUAUGCUGGAGGUAUCAGAAGUGCGAAUGCUGACAUAAGUAACGAUAAAGCGGGUGAAAAGCCCGCUCGCCGGAAGACCAAGGGUUCCUGUCCAACGUUAAUCGGGGCAGGGUGAGUCGACCCCUAAGGCGAGGCCGAAAGGCGUAGUCGAUGGGAAACAGGUUAAUAUUCCUGUACUUGGUGUUACUGCGAAGGGGGGACGGAGAAGGCUAUGUUGGCCGGGCGACGGUUGUCCCGGUUUAAGCGUGUAGGCUGGUUUUCCAGGCAAAUCCGGAAAAUCAAGGCUGAGGCGUGAUGACGAGGCACUACGGUGCUGAAGCGACAAAUGCCCUGCUUCCAGGAAAAGCCUCUAAGCAUCAGGUAACAUCAAAUCGUACCCCAAACCGACACAGGUGGUCAGGUAGAGAAUACCAAGGCGCUUGAGAGAACUCGGGUGAAGGAACUAGGCAAAAUGGUGCCGUAACUUCGGGAGAAGGCACGCUGAUAUGUAGGUGAAGCGACUUGCUCGUGGAGCUGAAAUCAGUCGAAGAUACCAGCUGGCUGCAACUGUUUAUUAAAAACACAGCACUGUGCAAACACGAAAGUGGACGUAUACGGUGUGACGCCUGCCCGGUGCCGGAAGGUUAAUUGAUGGGGUUAGCGGUAACGCGAAGCUCUUGAUCGAAGCCCCGGUAAACGGCGGCCGUAACUAUAACGGUCCUAAGGUAGCGAAAUUCCUUGUCGGGUAAGUUCCGACCUGCACGAAUGGCGUAAUGAUGGCCAGGCUGUCUCCACCCGAGACUCAGUGAAAUUGAACUCGCUGUGAAGAUGCAGUGUACCCGCGGCAAGACGGAAAGACCCCGUGAACCUUUACUAUAGCUUGACACUGAACAUUGAGCCUUGAUGUGUAGGAUAGGUGGGAGGCUUUGAAGUGUGGACGCCAGUCUGCAUGGAGCCGACCUUGAAAUACCACCCUUUAAUGUUUGAUGUUCUAACGUGGGCCCCUUACCGGGGUUGCGGACAGUGUCUGGUGGGUAGUUUGACUGGGGCGGUCUCCUCCUAAAGAGUAACGGAGGAGCACGAAGGUUGGCUAAUCCUGGUCGGACAUCAGGAGGUUAGUGCAAUGGCAUAAGCCAGCUUGACUGCGAGCGUGACGGCGCGAGCAGGUGCGAAAGCAGGUCAUAGUGAUCCGGUGGUUCUGAAUGGAAGGGCCAUCGCUCAACGGAUAAAAGGUACUCCGGGGAUAACAGGCUGAUACCGCCCAAGAGUUCAUAUCGACGGCGGUGUUUGGCACCUCGAUGUCGGCUCAUCACAUCCUGGGGCUGAAGUAGGUCCCAAGGGUAUGGCUGUUCGCCAUUUAAAGUGGUACGCGAGCUGGGUUUAGAACGUCGUGAGACAGUUCGGUCCCUAUCUGCCGUGGGCGCUGGAGAACUGAGGGGGGCUGCUCCUAGUACGAGAGGACCGGAGUGGACGCAUCACUGGUGUUCGGGUUGUCAUGCCAAUGGCACUGCCCGGUAGCUAAAUGCGGAAGAGAUAAGUGCUGAAAGCAUCUAAGCACGAAACUUGCCCCGAGAUGAGUUCUCCCUGACUCCUUGAGAGUCCUGAAGGAACGUUGAAGACGACGACGUUGAUAGGCCGGGUGUGUAAGCGCAGCGAUGCGUUGAGCUAACCGGUACUAAUGAACCGUGAGGCUUAACCUU